rnacentral:lncRNA from 10 species
ACUGCAGAGUAGUCUUCAUAGUCACGAUGCGCUGUGCUGAGGCUGCUGCUUAGAAAGGUGGGGCUUCUUCUCCCUGCUUACCCACGUGUCUGGCUGAUCUCUCAGCUCAGCUGCAGGAGCUUGUUGGUCCUGAAGAGUGGUCUGUCUUUAUUUGCUGAUACUUAAACUUUCCUUCUUGAAAACUGAAUCACUGCUAUUUGGUGCACAUUUUCACCCAGUCUGAGUGCCACCUUACAUCUUUCAUUCUGCAUCUUGAGAAUUCUGUUUUACAGUCAGAGGUGACAACUAGAUCAGAGCAUUGACUGCUCCCAAUUUCGCUUUUACAAAAGAGAGCAAAGGAAGUGGUGAUGUUAGGUUUGGGGGUGAUGAUAAAGUCAGAGAGGGGAACUCCCACUGAAGCCCACAUUAUGAAAAGAGCUGAACCAACUUGUACUCUUGAUCUCCCCUUAAAAGCUGGUUUUGUACCUGAAUGGAGAGAAGUGCAGAUAUUAGAGACCUGGCUGAUGUCUGGUGCUUCAUUGCCCUGAAUAGACAGAAAAAUGCAGACCCUUGGGAAGCAAAGUGCUUGACAGAGCUGAAAGUGAACAGCAGAGGCUGGGAGGAAGCAGGACCAAACAAAUCCAGAAAUCCUCCAAGGCUGUAGCCCUAGGCCCAGCAGGUGGUGGUCAGGACAAAGUAGGAGCAUGUACAGUGUUGAGAUCAGAGUCUUGGGAAAGCACCUGUUACAGGUCAGAGUGAAGGAUGAUCCCAGAAACAAGUCAGACAAGAGGCAGGUUUGUCCAAUAGAACAUAAAACUGUGACGCUUGAAGAUAAACGUGACCUUGACCAGCCCUGAGCAGCAGGACUCUUUGGUCCAACUGCCCGAAAAACUAUUGUCAAGAAAAUGCCCAGUGACCUCCAAACUCCUGACCUUUCAAUUACCUCAGUGGAUGGACCGAGAGAAAGCAAAAGGCAUCCCAGUGUCUCCUCACUAUGGAGUGGAAGGAGCAAGAGGUUUAUAAUAGCAUCUUGUUAUAUUGAAGUCACAAGCUACCAGCAUCUUCUUAUAUUGAAGUCACAGGCAGGAUUUAAAUUCAUCUUAUAUGUAAGUAUGGUAUCCCAGUGUGUCAGUGAAGAGACAGAUGUUACUGAGAUCACCUUGCCCAGGGACGCAUCUCCUAAUAUCUGCAAGGAUGUCCUGUAUACCAAAAGUAUAGCUUCAUUCCUUCUAAUCCCAAAGACUCUCAAAUAAAGCAAAUCUGCGGGAGGACAAAGAUGAUGGUAAGCACAGAGGAGAAUGGGUAUCAAUCACUUACAUCAUUAGGAAGGAGUGAAAUCUUACAAUGAUCUUUCCCUCUGCUUUCUUCCUUUCAGGUGAUCUAACUUCCUGUGCCAGCAUCAUCAUUUUACAAUAAGAUUUGACUUUGGUUAAAGUUUGAAAUUCUCCUCUGAGGAAACACAUUUCAGGAUGUUAUCUUUCAUGCAUACCUUAUCAUGAAGAAAGGAUCCAACUAUUCAUAAUCUAGAUUUCCACUGAUUUCUUUAACCACAGUUUGAUAACAACCACCAGUGAGGAAUGAUUCUGGUUGCUCUGAAGGAACAGAUAGAUGUGGGGAGACAAGAAUAAAAGCAAGGAGGCUUGUAACUGGCUGUUUUCAUACUAGAGGAACUUCAGGACUGAAUCCUGCAGUAGAAGCAAGAACAGGCUAUUGGGAGACUCUGGUCCUCAACUGCACAAAGAAGGGCCCAUAUCCUCAACUCUGCCACAGACCUCUUUGAUUCCAGUUGGAAGCCUGGAGAUUUCACUGCUGCUGAGGAGGGUUCCAGGGACUGGGAAACCUGAGCUGUGAGCUGAGCUUGGGUGAUCUGUUUCCAUCUGUGGUCUGGUGCUGAUGGUUUCCAAGGCAGGAAUCAAGUCAGUCCUUGAAGAGCUACAACAGAGCAAAAGUGCAGGUAAACAAAGCAACACGAAGGCUAAAUAAAAGUCAUUUCCCCAAGCAAAAUAAGGGUAGGGACCUUCAGAUGGACAGAUUAGCCUGGAUUAAGCAGAUGGAGAAGCCGAGGAUCAAGGAUCGGGCCAGGAGCCAAGGAAUACUGCCACCUCUAGAAGUUGGGAACGGCCCUCAGCUUACAGCCACUAAGAAAAGGGGGAUUUUGGCCCUCUAGCUGCAAGGAAUCUAAUUCCACUUGAAUUAACAAGGAACAUCCAGGCAGGAAUGUAGCCCUGACAACACCCUAAUUUAGGCCAGUCAGGCCCGGACAGACUUCUGACCCACGGAAUUCUAAAAUAAUUUGUGUUUCUUAAACCAUCAAAUUUGUUGUAAUUUGUUAUGGUAGCAACAGGAAUCAAAUAUACCUCUCUACUUUUACAAGAUAUUGUUGUCUGCAGCCUGUUUGAAGUCGGUGACUAAACACAGCUGGUUACUAUGGCAGGCCCAUUCUGAAGAGUUGCAGGACACCCUCGGGAGUACUUUGGUUUGAAGCCUCCUCAUCACCUCGGCUGCCGUUUCUGGGAUCUGGGUUGCAGUCUGAGGCUCAUUUUUCCAAUUCCCAAUACUUCCUACUGAUGAUAUUCUUGAGAGUCAGGCUUUAUCAAGAGAGAAAAAGGACUUUAAAAUUUUCAAACUCCUUUUUAAAUAUCAGAGAUUUUUUUGGCCUACUUUGAUUACAGGUCCUUACUUAUAAGUCUCUCCUUCCUAGGGAGAAAAUAGAAAGCUUUAAGAGACAGAUUACACUUUACCUGACAUUCAUUUUUGCAUGCCUUGUUAAACAUGAAAGAAUGUGUUAAGGCCAUUUUUUAUUGUUUAAUUUGUUGUUUUGACUUUGGGUGUGUGUGUUUGUGUCAAUUAUUUUUUAAUCUACUAGAACAUUCAUUAUCCUUUUUAUUUUGGAAAACAAGGGUGAGAAAGGUUACGUGAUCUGGAGGUAAAAAUACACCAUUAUGUAAAGUUGAAGUGUCAUCCCCUGAAUCCACAUUGCACAUCUAUAAAGUAGAAGAACUUGUCUUACUCCAGUGUUUAGUAUUCGUUAGGUUAAUGUUUUUCAAACAAGCUUGAUAGUAAGAAGCAUUUGAGACUUUUGUUUAAAAUACAUCCCCCUCUACCACUGAAAGUUUAAUUUGGUAAGUUUGUUUGGACAUACAGAUUCUGUAUUUCUAAGAAAUAUUUAGAUGGUUUUUAUCAGACUUGGAGGUCCUCUUAUUGAAAAUAAAAAAGUAGACAUGCUCACGAUGAAGUUUACCUUUUCUUUCUAUUCAUCUAUUUUAAAAAAUAUUUAUGAAAAAUGCUUGCCUGCUGCUUAGCUUGAUUUAAGAGAUAAACUGAUCAGACAGAAUGUCAAGCCAGCCAGCAUCUCCUGGUCUACACCAAAGCCUUUCCUACUUCUUUCAAACAGUGAAGGCACCAGGACAGAGU